CACUAGCAGUAUCACCAGCAGUAUCACCAGCAGUAUCACCAGCAGUAUCACCAGCAGUAUCACCAGCAGUAUCACCAGCAGUAUCACCAGCAGUAUCACCAGCAGUAUCCACAUCUCUGUUUUUUUCAACCCAGUCAACUACUGCAUCUGCAGAGAGUCCUGGUGGCCCUGACGUCGUCAUCACUGUGAUCGUCUGUGUAGCUAUGCUGCUGCUGCUGUUUGUGCUGAUUUUGAUCCUAAUCUACGCAUGAUUUUCACAUUUAAAGAACACAAGAAAUGGAGCAGCAGCACAGCACAAAAAGGAUCAUGUCUAUGAGGAGAUACAGCAGACGCCAAACUCAGGAAAUAAGAUGAACUCGAUUUAUGCCACUGCCAACUUUCCCACAAACCCGUCUGCCUCGCAGCAUUACUCCAGCAUCAACUUCCAAACAGCUCUGACAGAGUUGGUGGUGAGGCAGUGAUCCUCAAACCCAACUCUGCUGCCUACGAAUAUUCUACUGUGAAGUAAAAUCCAGCCUACUGUACAGUCAGCCAGCCGUCCAGCUCUUCAGAGGAUCCUCUCUACACAACAGUCAACAAGCCACAGCAGCACUGAGCAAAGAUCAGCCCUGUCAAUUUAUGACAUUUACUACAUGUAUGGUCAAAAUUUCAGGUCAUUCAUUGCUGAUGUGGUUGUUUACAAUGAAUCCAGCUCAGACUUCAGGAACUUCACCAAGAUAUUCAGAUGUUGGACGCUGUCAACUUAAAUCCUAUCAAUCCAGAGACACACGAUUCACUUCAUCAUCCACAUUGUUUGAGUCACCAAGGUUUGAACAGGACUUUUGCACCGAUCUGUAAUUACUAGAGGAGUCUUUCUUGUCUUGCUUCUGAAGCUCAGCUUUAUAUUACAGCUGAUUAUUAUCUCAUUACCUGAUUUAACUUAUCACAGAUACUGUAUAUUGUUGACCUGGUCUGAAUCAGAGUCCCAGAAAUAAAAGAAAAUCCUUUCCCUACAAUACUAUGAUAUUUACAUAUGAAAUUUACAUAUGAGAGACCUGGGUUCAAUCCCCCUCUGUGACCCAUCUGCCAUUGUGUCCCUGAGCAAGACACCUAGUUGCUCGAGAGGCGUGCAACCUCUGACAUAAAAAAGCUUUGGAUAAAAGCGACUUAAUUUAAAGAAACUGUUUUAAAACUGGUAGUUUGAGUUAUUAUAUUAUAUAUUUCAUAGUUUUAUGUACAAGAAAACAAUCAUUAAAAUGUUGCUUAUUAUUUACAA